rnacentral:rRNA from 1 species
GAUGAACGCUGGCGGCGUGCCUAAUACAUGCAAGUCGAGCGAACAGACGAGGAGCUUGCUCCUCUGACGUUAGCGGCGGACGGGUGAGUAACACGUGGAUAACCUACCUAUAAGACUGGGAUAACUUCGGGAAACCGGAGCUAAUACCGGAUAAUAUAUUGAACCGCAUGGUUCAAUAGUGAAAGACGGUUUUGCUGUCAGUUAUAGAUGGAUCCGCGCCGCAUCAGCUAGUUGGUAAGGUAAUGGCUUACCAAGGCAACGAGGGGUAGCCGACCUGAGAGGGUGAACGGCGACACCGGGACUGAGGGACGGCCCAGAAUGCGAAGGGAGGCAGAAGGGGGAAAUAUUGCAGAAGGGGCGGAAGCGGGAUGAAGAAACGCUGCGGGCGGGAAAACGGUUUUCUGGGGGAAAAACGAUUUUGAAAGUGACGAAGCGUGAGUGACGGUAACGGAUAAAGAAGCCCCGGCUAACUACGGG